GGCCAGCAUCGAUUCGGAGCGGCAGGAUAAUGGUAGGGGGAACGUGGCAGGUGUCUUUGGCAGCUGUGUUAUAGCCCUCUGCAGAUGCUGCNUGCCUGGAUCGAGGCUGCGUCUUUUAGACUAGGAUGCUGGCGUAAU
rnacentral:rRNA from 1 species